AAACUUUCAACAACGGAUCUCUUGGUUCCCGCAUCGAUGAAGAACGCAGCAAAAUGCGAUAAGUAAUGUGAAUUGCAGAAUUUAGUGAAUCAUCGAAUCUUUGAACGCACAUUGCGCUCCUUUGGUAUUCCUAGGAGCAUGCCUGUUCGAGCGUCAUAG
rnacentral:rRNA from 1 species